CGGACGGGUGAGUAACGCGUGGAAAACCUGCCGUAUACUGGGGGAUAACACUUAGAAAUAGGUGCUAAUACCGCAUAAGCGCACAGUAUCGCAUGAUACAGUGUGAAAAACUCCGGUGGUACAGGAUGGACCCGCGUCUGAUUAGCUGGUUGGCGGGGUAACGGCCCACCAAGGCGACGAUCAGUAGCCGGCCUGAGAGGGUGAACGGCCACAUUGGGACUGAGACACGGCCCAAACUCCUACGGAAGGCAGCAG
rnacentral:rRNA from 1 species